rfam:Canis lupus familiaris chromosome 5, whole genome shotgun sequence.
CGGGGGAGGCCGGAUCCUGGGCUGUGUCCCGGCGCCCUGUGCUCCGGGGCCUGAGCUGUUGGAUUCGCGCUCCCGGGCCGCGCAACCCCCU